rfam:Ovis aries breed Texel chromosome 5, whole genome shotgun sequence.
UCCCUGGUGGCUCAGAUGGUAAAGCGUCUGCCUACAGUGCAGGAGACCCGGGUACAAUCCCUGGGUGGGGAA